rnacentral:lncRNA from 1 species
ACUCCCAGGACUAGCGAGCGGCGGGCGCGGACCGGGGCCUGGGGUCGGAGGCGGCGCAGCCAGAAAGGCCCCAGCGGCGCUGAGACGUUUGGGGGAAGGCGGGGGCUUCGCGUUUCGAUGGCGGGAAGCGGAAUGAGGUUGGACCGGCCGGGCCGGCGUUCAGGGACCCGGCGGGAGGCGGAGGGCUGGCGUCCUCGCGGACAUCCAUCUGCAGCGAACCAGGCAGAGGCUUUGGGAUUAGAUCCUUGACUCCUUGCGUCAGUAGUUAAGCUUUGUGAUGGUCUGAGGUCCAUGAAGGGAUUAAAACCAGGAACUGGCUCCUUCUCCAACCACUAAAGCCUCAUCUGGGCCCACAAGCCCUGGCUGUUCCCUGGAGCGUGACUGGAAGAUGUGAGCAGCUUUGUGCUGGAGCCCCAUUUCCAUGGGUAAACUGUUCACCUGAUCAAACAGCUCCCCAGAGUUCCACAGUACCACAUAUUUAUUUUCUAGAACUUUGUUUUUAGCUGAAAGGGAUCUUAGAGGCUAAGGCAAUCCUAUCACUUUACAGGUGAUAAAACUGAGGCCCAGAGAAGUGAAGUAACUUGCCUAGGCCCACACAGCUCAUCAGUAAAAGAGCCAGAACACAUGGCCGAGACUUCUCCCUAAUCCAGCGUCUCCUCCACACUCCCAGCUCACCCCUAGGGUUUGUGCCCAGGCUGAGGACACUAUUUUCAGAGGCACUAAUGUGAGGCAAAGGGCAUGUUACCAGACACAGCCCCGCCUACCCCGGUCCCCUGAGGUGGAGCUGUGCAUUCCACUGGCUUCACGGUUCCCCUCUGCCCUGGCGGCUUCUGGUUGGUAUUGGCGCCACCGACUGCUCUGCCAUGGCUCCUCAGUGAGUGCUUUGGGUGUGAUUGACAAGUUUCCAUGACAUCUCCCAGGGAGUGGGGUCCUGAUGUUGGUGACAUCUCUAUCGUUCAUCUUUUCAUGGGGCUGAUGAAUUCCUAGAAAGGGUAGAAGGAGAAGGAGCCACUGAAAGAGGCUCUUUAAAACUUCCCUGAGUGUCCCCCAGUGCAAAUGAACAGGAGCCCCAGGACACUUGAAGGCCCUAGGAAAUCACACCUCAGAGCCACAGAUGCAUCCUAAUGCUCUCUGCAGACGGGGCACGUGUCGGAGGUGAGAACAACAGCUCCAGAUGUCUCUGUCUUUGCAAAUAAGGCCUGUGACAUUUAAUGAUGUAACCACCUACCUUCCACCCAUUGUUCUGGUGGCCAUGAGUAGAAGGAAUUAUACCAGGAUGUGAUAAGAAGGAAUUAGGAGCUGGGAGUCUUGCUGGGUGAGGACCUUGGCCCCUUGCUUGCUUGCCAUCUAAUAGGGGCACUCCUGGCCUGUGGGGUCAGGGAGAACUAGACCCAGAGCAUGGUUGUCUCUGUGACUAGUUGAGCCUGUUUCUCCUUCAAGGGCCCUGGCAGUGGGAAAACAUAUUAUGACAAUUGCACUGUUUUAUCAGCCCUUGGCACUCCUGAAGUUGCCCUGAAAUAAACAUCCCUACCUGUAUGCCAGGCCCUGCCUACUUCUGGAGCUCUCUUAGGUUUACAACCUACCCCCGCUGUCCCAAAUUGAUAGGGUGAGCCCAGGGCAUUAAAUGGGUGGUGCAAGUCAGGCUUCAGGACUGACACGGGUCUAUGUGCGCUCAGUGUGGGUUGAGGGGCACUGGGCUGUCUUUCUCCCUACAGUGCAUGCUGCUGCCAAACCAGAGAUCACUUGUAGACUUGAAAGGGAACAUGAGCUUUGGGUGAAGGAUUCCCAGCCCCCAACAGAGGCCAAAAAGCUACCACCCAGCCAGGCAGAAGGAACAUAAAGUAUGCAUUUUAUGAUACGACUCAGCUUGGAGGGAUGAAGUAGAAGGUCCUCACUGCACCUCAUGGCAGGCUGCUGACGGCAGAUAUUUUACCGGGCUCACUGAACUGGGCAGUCAGGGAAGGGUCGGCUCCUGCUCUGUCCAGCUGUCUUCAUAAGGGACUCUGUGACACUUUUUAUAAAAAUGACUUUGAUUUCUGCAUAAGAAGGCUUCCCAAGCUUGCUGUCUAGCAGUGGCUGCUACAGGGAAUUAUUCACAUGGCAGCAAGAGAGCCCUGGCUCCCUGGACCAGGACAUUCCCUUUGUGUGUGUUGGAAUGAGAGCAGGAGGAGUGCUGGUCAGAAGCCCCUCCCCAGGGCUCUGGGACUUCAGUGUUCUCAGACAAACUGGGCCGCUCCUCUGAGCUGGGAUGCUGACCCACACUUGGCCCCGGCUCUGGCAUCCACAGGACGCUGCCUUAUCCGUCAUCUCGCUGGGGCUGGGGGCUAGAGGCUGAGCAGGUCACACUGAACAAAAGAAGUGUGUCCCCAUCACUAGGCUAACAUCUGAGUUUCUUCCACAGUAUUUGGUAACACAGUCAGAAACAAGACUGAAGAUGAUUCUGGAGGCAACUGGGAACCCCCCAGAACGAUUCUGCAGGCUUCUGGGAAGCUGAAAAACCCCAAGGCCAGACUGGCCUCAGAAUGCCUGAGUCCUUUUGAUUCCACUGGAAAAGCCAUCCAUCUGUGCCAAGUGUGUGGAGAGCUUCAAGAGCCAUAUAGCCCUGGCCACCAUGAGCACAGCCACGUGGGGGAGUAGUCCUGAAAGUGUCCUGGUGUGGCAAAGGCUUUCCACUAAGUGGACCUCAGAUGGCACAGGAAGACCCUCCUGGGGAUGUGGGAGGACACUGCCUAGUGGGUGAGGGGCCGCUCUUUCAGGUGUGCACACUAAAUGCAGAGACAGCCUCUCCUGGCUGCCAAGAAGCCUGUGCAUGAUCCAGGACCACAAAACACUUGCAAACUCACUGCCCAGAGGCCCUGUGCCUGUCUGGAGUGUGCCCAGUGUGUCUGCGCCCCACAGCUUGUCCUGGCCCGCCAGCAGAGCCGCAGCACUGCAGGGCCCUUCUGUUGUGAGUGCCAGGGCCCUUGCUGGCUGCCUGAGCAAGGCAAAAGGUUCAAAACAGGAAGUCUCUGGGCAGCUAUUCCCAGGUGCAGAGGGGAGCAGCGGCCACACAGGUGCCAGUGUGGCAGGAGCUGCAGUCAGAGGCAGCAUCUCAAGAGCCCUGGGAGCAGGGGCCAGCCACGUGAAGCCCACGAGUGUCGCUGGCACAGGGAAGGGACACGAGGAUCACACUGACCCAAGAGAAGGCCCACAGUGAGGAGGCCCCACCGAAGCAUCCCCAGCAACAGGGACUGAGGCAUCUGAGGCAGCCAGCCCACUCGGAAAGGCCUGCUGACUGCACUCCAGAUGUCAAGAGCACCCUUGGGAAAAAGAAAGGCAGGAGUGCAGCACUUUCUAGAGCCUCAGCUCACUUCUCUCCUUCUAGCUCCAGCCGGAGUGAUGGAAGAGGCUGCGCUGGGAGCUGCCUCCCUGGGAGCCUACCCUGCCCAGCCUGAGAGUGGAGGCUACCAGCAUCACGCUUCCCCUAGUGAAAUCCAUCUGUCCUGAAGGGAACCCUGGGACGGGGUCAAGGAAACCCUGUUCACCCCCACCACGGGGUCAGGUCUUCACCAAAGGGAGGCCGCACGGAUUCCCAGUCGCAAACCCAAAGCCUUGCUGCCUUUGCCUCUGUUUCCAUAGUUGUUUCAAUGUCUUUUUUAAAAAUCACAUACACUCGAGUAAGACUGAGUCUCCUCACCGAAGAGAUCUGGCUGUAUCCCGAGUCUCUGAAACCUUUGCUCCAGUCCCGUGGGAGCGUGCCGUCCCGAGGAUGUGGAGCCGCAAGGGCUCGCCAGAGGGAUCUCAGGAGCUAGGCCUCAAGGAGCGCUGUUGAGUGACAGGUCUGAUGCAGUAGCUUUUACUAUUGGUGGAAAUCGAUGUUUUUUCCUUGAAAGUCUACCUUUCUAAGUUCAGUAAACCAAAUUAGAUCAUGUAUGUGAAAGCACUUUGUAAACUAUGCAGUACUCCAGAAAAGGCAGCCAAGCCCUUAAUUAUAACUCACCAAACAGCCAACUCUCAUCUUUACCUUCUAACUGGCAAAAAUGAUUGAGCUCACUUUGAAGGACUAGAGAGGAAAGAAACUGAAAGACAAAAAUCAGGUGAAUACACAGGCACUUCCCCUGCCCACCUCUGUUCCUGGCCCUGUCCCCUCGUGAGUGAGAGCAGAG